AGUUACACAAUUCAGGCAGUGGAGAGAAGGCCGUGGGGAGUGGCUGAGGAGUCCCUCAAGAGAAGAGGUUGCUGUUCACUGAUGGUGGAGUGUUUUGAGAGUGGUGGAACCAGGUUAUCCCUUUCUUCUUUUAACGUGUCAUGUGAUUCUCUGAGGGAGCAGCUGCGUGAGUGGAGAUGCUUUCAGUGGUGGAGAAUGGACUGGACCCCCAGGCUGCCAUCCCGGGUAUUGUUGGAAUUCAGCAAAGCCCAGGUAAACUCUGUGCCAACCAACGGACUGAGCCAAGAAACGGAGAUCCCCACACCACAGGCCUCGCUCUCCCUCCAUGGCCUCAACACCAGCACAUACCUGCACUGUGAGGCACCUGCAGAGCCCCUUCCUGCCCAGGCAGCCUCUGGAACUCAAGAUGGUGUCCACGUGCAGGAGCCGCGUCCCCAGGCGCCCAGCCCCCUGGACUUACAGCAGCCUGUAGAGAGCACCUCAGGCCAGCAGCCUUCUAGUACUGUCAGCGAGACAGCCAGAGAAGUGGGCCAAGGGAAUGGCCUGCAGAAGGCCCAGGCUCAUGACGGAGC
rnacentral:misc_RNA from 1 species